AAAGGGUGCGUAGGCGGCCUGUUAAGUCAGGGGUGAAAGACGGUAGCUCAACUAUCGCAGUGCCCUUGAUACUGAUGGGCUUGAAUGGACUAGAGGUAGGCGGAAUGAGACAAGUAGCGGUGAAAUGCAUAGAUAUGUCUCAGAACACCGAUUGCGAAGGCAGCUUACUAUGGUCCUAUUGACGCUGAGGCACGAAAGCGUGGGGAUCAAACAGGAUUAGAUACCCCGGU
rnacentral:rRNA from 1 species